rnacentral:rRNA from 1 species
AGAGUUUGAUCCUGGCUCAGAACGAACGCUGGCGGCAGGCUUAACACAUGCAAGUCGAAGGAUAAGCGGGACUUCGGUCCCGUGGAAACUGGCGCACGGGUGAGUAACGCGUGGGAAAUUACCUAGUGGUUCAGAAUAACCGCGGGAAACUGCGGCUAAUACUGAAUACGCCCCGAGGGGGAAAGAUUUAUCGCCAUUAGAUGUGCCCGCGUCGGAUUAGCUUGUUGGUGAGGUAACGGCUCACCAAGGCGACGAUCCGUAGCUGGUCUGAGAGGAUGAUCAGCCACACUGGGACUGAGACACGGCCCAGACUCCUACGGGAGGCAGCAGUGGGGAAUAUUGGACAAUGGGCGCAAGCCUGAUCCAGCCAUGCCGCGUGAGUGAAGAAGGCCCUAGGGUUGUAAAGCUCUUUCACCGGGGAAGAUAAUGACGGUACCCGGAGAAGAAGCCCCGGCUAACUCCGUGCCAGCAGCCGCGGUAAUACGGAGGGGGCUAGCGUUGUUCGGAAUUACUGGGCGUAAAGCGCGCGUAGGCGGCUUGCCAAGUUGGGGGUGAAAUCCCAGGGCUCAACCCUGGAACUGCCCUCAAAACUGGUUCGCUAGAGUCCGGGAGAGGUGAGUGGAAUUCCCAGUGUAGAGGUGAAAUUCGUAGAUAUUGGGAAGAACACCAGUGGCGAAGGCGGCUCACUGGACCGGUACU